GCGACCCCAGGUCAGGCNGGUCCACCCGCUG
rnacentral:rRNA from 1 species